GGGAUCAAAGUGCAUGAAGAGGAAGAAGAAGGGGAACUAUGAGCCAUGAGAAAAUAUGGUGACAGCUGACAUCACCUCCUUCCAAUCCCUCCAAUUCAUUUCCUCCCACCUUUUAUCCUAAAGAACAUCCAGGAGAGAAAAAGACAACAGCGGUGACUUGAAGAAGAAGCCAUUUGAAAGCUGAAAAUGGUCAACUGUCAGCACCUAACUGAACUCUGAAAAAAAAUCUUGGGAAUUAUUUAGAGGAAAGAUAUGUUUUAGACAUUUCAGAAGAAUACAUCUUUGAUCUAAAUUGUCAGAUUAACUUCCAGAGAGCUGAUAAAUGAAAACCUGAAAAAAAAAAAAAGAAAUCCU